rnacentral:rRNA from 1 species
GCCAUCCCAGUUCGGAUUGCAGUCUGAAACUCGAGUGCAUGAAGCUGGAAUCGCUAGUAAUCGCAAAUCAGAAUGUUGCGGUGAAUACGUUCCCGGGUCUUGUACACACCGCCCGUCACACCAUGGGAGUUGGAAAUGCCCGAAGUCAGUGACCCAACCUAAGGGAGGGAGCUGCCGAAGGCAGGUUCGAUGACUGGGGUGAAGUCGUAACAAGGUACC